rnacentral:rRNA from 1 species
UGGCGGACGGGUGAGUAAUGUCUGGGAAACUGCCCGAUGGAGGGGGAUAACUACUGGAAACGGUAGCUAAUACCGCAUAACGUCGCAAGACCAAGAGGGGACCGUUCGGGCCUCUUGCCAUCGGAUGUGCCCAGAUGGGAUUAGCUAGUAGGUGGGGUAACGGCUCACCUAGGCGACGAUCCCUAGCUGGUCUGAGAGGAUGACCAGCCACACUGGAACUGAGACACGGUCCAG